UACGUAGGGUGCGAGCGUUGUCCGGAAUUAUUGGGCGUAAAAGGGCUCGUAGGCGGUCUGUCGCGUCGGGAGUGAAAACUCAGGGCUUAACCCUGAGCCUGCUUCCGAUACGGGCAGACUAGAGGUAUGCAGGGGAGAACGGAAUUCCUGGUGUAGCGGUGGAAUGCGCAGAUAUCAGGAGGAACACCGGUGGCGAAGGCGGUUCUCUGGGCAUUACCUGACGCUGAGGAGCGAAAGUGUGGGGAGCGAACAGG
rnacentral:rRNA from 1 species